UACGUAGGGUGCAAGCGUUGUCCGGAAUUAUUGGGCGUAAAGAGCUCGUAGGCGGUCUGUCACGUCGGCUGUGAAAACCUAGGGCUCAACCCUGGGCCUGCAGCCGAUACGGGCAGACUAGAAUUCGGUAGGGGAGACUGGAAUUCCUGGUGUAGCGGUGAAAUGCGCAGAUAUCAGGAGGAACACCGGUGGCGAAGGUGGGUCUCUGGGCCGAUAUUGACGCUGAGGAGCGAAAGCGUGGGGAGCGAACAGG
rnacentral:rRNA from 1 species